rnacentral:lncRNA from 1 species
UCUGUUGAGCCGACCCUAAUUUGGCUGUGGUGGACUCCAGUUCAGUCGUCGCGUGGGAGAUCCCCUGCUAGAGGCUCUUCUCCUGCUCCAUCGCUGCCUGCUCCCGAUCAAUUGCUGUUUGAAGCUUUUCGACGACUGCUGCUUUCUCAACAUUUGCAACUGCAACUCUAUCAAUCCAGGCUUGAUGAAGCUCGGCAAAUUUUCAAUAUAUGCUCUCCAGAGCGUACAUAGCAUGUGCCAACUGAAAAGAAAAAACAAGUCAGAUUUUAAAAAAAAAGAAAGAAGAAGUAUCGUCAACUUACCCUAAGAAUCGUCAGAUAGAAAGAAGAAAACAUCUCGAACAUGAUCUGAUCUUUUCUAUUCUCCCUGUCAGUCAGAAGAAGACCUAUCUCGAUGAGUCAUUUGGCCAACGUCGAAUUGGCCAAAGCUGACUCAUCAAUCGAAAUUCGGAUGUCGAAGAGGGUGGGGAGAUCCACCGACGAUCCAUUAUCGACAGAAGUAGCCGACGCCUUUUCUCUCUCUCCAGUCGGCAGUCGUUCGCUCGAAACCACCAUGAAGUCGGAGCUCGACUGUGUUCGAGACCACGCCACUUGAGGAAUGGUCUGUGUGGCAGCAGAUAGCUCUAGUUCGAUCGUGAC